AUUGAACGCUGGCGGCAUGCCUUACACAUGCAAGUCGAGCGGCAGCGCGGGGGCAACCCUGGCGGCGAGCGGCGAACGGGUGAGUAAUGCAUCGGAACGUGUCCUCUUGUGGGGGAUAACCAGUCGAAAGACUGGCUAAUACCGCAUGAGAUCGAGAGAUGAAAGCGGGGGACCGCAAGGCCUCGCGCGAGAGGAGCGGCCGAUGCCCGAUUAGCUAGUUGGUGGGGUAAUGGCCUACCAAGGCGACGAUCGGUAGCUGGUCUGAGAGGACGACCAGCCACACUGGGACUGAGACACGGCCCAGACUCCUACGGGAGGCAGCAGUGGGGAAUUUUGGACAAUGGGGCAACCCUGAUCCAGCCAUGCCGCGUGUGUGAAGAAGGCCU
rnacentral:rRNA from 1 species